GUGUCGCCACGGCCACACUCCACCACACUUUGGUUCAUCAGGCCCGUUUCCCUCUACAGCCUGCCCGCAUUGUGUCGCUCUACCGGGCCGACUCUAUCACGGUUAAUACGGCCCCCCCGACAGAUAGCCGACAGGGCCGCAUAAACAGUAAAUAUGGCGCCCAUUUCAGCCAUUUUGUGUGAAGUCGUCAGGACAAGAGUGAAUCCAUUACAUACACACCACCUUCCUGCACGACGCUGGAAACAAACCCGAGUAAAUCCAGGAUAUAAAGUUACAUAACAUGGUGUGUGUGAGUGUUAGCCUGCUAUUUGGUUUGACAUUUAAAACUGAACCACAGGCACAAAUUUUUGGUAGCUUACAGACAUUUAAACAAGUCAAAACAGAAAGUGGCCUAGUGUUAGGCACAAAAUGAGCAACUCAAGUGAGUGGGGCGAUACUGAUACAACGUGAUCCAGUUCAGCUGGGUGAAAAUGACUGUAAAGAAAGAUCAUAAGAAGCCCGGAGGCGGCAGCCAAGGUGGCGGCGGCCGUGGCGGCCAGAGCCUUCACAAUGGAAACCUGUGGGUGACCUCAUGGAUACUGCACGGCGGCAGUAAGAAUCUCUGCAGCUGAUUUUCAUCAGCAGAUACCACUUGUGCAUGCCGUCGUCGUCUGAGUCAGGAUGGAGAGAUGAGGACGGGGCAUCCCACUCACCCUCUGCAUGGCCGGAGACACUGCUGAGCUGCUGUCAUGGCAACAGCAGCAGUCACCACCACCACCAGCAGCAUGGGCCUAUAAUGCACAGGCCAGGAGGAGUCACACACAAAACACACACACACACACACACACACACACACACACACACACAAUGAGAGCAGGGCAGGUCCAGAUUCUGAAUGUGUGUCCUUACAUCUGAAAGUGACAGAGGACACGUUGUAUAGUAAUUUAAUUUAAUUUUUGAGGACAA